rnacentral:tRNA from 1 species
UGUUCUGUGGCUUAGUUGGUCAAAGCGCCGGACUACCGCUACGGAGUUGGGGGUUUGAGUCCCAUCAAAGCAA